AAUGAAGGAUUUGGUGGUAUUUUUGUAAAGAGUGAUUGUUGUACAACUUAGGUAGAAUUUUUCUCGAAUCAGUCGCGUAGCCAGCUUGACAAAUCUAGAAUCGCUAUAUGGACUGAUUUACGGGCAUUACAACUAUUUAUUCCAUUAGAAAUUCAUUGUUCUCACAGUCAAUGAAUAUUAACAUGUAAAGUAGGAGAUUUUCAAUGGUCGGGUUUGCCACGGAUGCCUUGCACGCUACUAUGGCGAAUAUGGCAAUUACAUAUAGGUCAUAAUUGUAUCAACACCGCAGCUAUAUUAAUAAGCUGGAAUUGAAAAUGCAUCUCUGGAAAUAUAUUGUCAUUCGUAUUUUUAGUUACAACAGUACCCAUGCAAGGUUGAUUUCCGAUGUUUUGAUCGGCAAGUUAAAGAAUACGCUUCUGUCGUUUUGUGGUCGAAUAUACGCCGGAAAAGCAGAAGCUGCAUGCGAUCGUGGUUGCAGGGGGUUCAUUUAAGCAACACUGAGGAAACCGGGCUUCUGCUCAUUUCACUUCACGGGCAGCACGGAGACUUUUACUGAAGACGGAAAGAAACUGCAACGAAAUAUGGUGAUGAAAGGUUUAUUGAUGAUCUGUUUGUUUCUCGUGGUCUUUGAAUUUUCGCGGGGAAAUGUGAUGUCAGGACAAAUAACUGAUUGCGAAAUACAUGGUGGAUUUUGUAUACCUUUCUAUCAAAAUAGUCCAACCUGCGCAGACUAUGGCGCAGUGCCCUACGCAUAUUCGUGUCUUUUAGGAGCAAACUGUUGCCGCUAAGACUGAAACUAAGAUGUGGGACAGGUACACCGCUAAACUUU